rnacentral:rRNA from 1 species
GGGAUUGCCCUAGUAACGGCGAGUGAAGCGGCAACAGCUCAAAUUUGAAAUCUGGCUCACGCCCGAGUUGUAAUUUGUAGAGGAUGCUUUUGGUGCGGUGCCUUCUGAGUUCCCUGGAACGGGACGCCAUAGAGGGUGAGAGCCCCGUAUAGUUGGACACCAAGCCUCUGUAAAGCUCCUUCGACGAGUCGAGUAGUUUGGGAAUGCUGCUCAAAAUGGGAGGUAAAUUUCUUCUAAAGCUAAAUACCGGCCAGAGACCGAUAGCGCACAAGUAGAGUGAUCGAAAGAUGAAAAGCACUUUGAAAAGAGGGUUAAACAGCACGUGAAAUUGUUGAAAGGGAAGCGCUCGUGACCAGACUUGCGCCUUGCGAAUCAUCCAGCGUUCUCGCUGGUGCACUUCGCUUGGCUCAGGCCAGCAUCGGUUUUCCUAGGGAGAUAAAGACAGCGGGAACGUAGCUCUCUACGGGGAGUGUUAUAGCCUGUUGUACAAUAUCCUUGGGGGGACCGAGGUUCGCGCUCUGCAAGGAUGCUGGCGUAAUGGUCAUCGGCGACCCGUCUUGAAACACGGACCAAGGAGUCAAGCAUUAGGGCGAGUGUUUGGGUGUCAAACCCGCACGCGAAAUGAAAGUGAACGUAGGUGAGAGCUUCGGCGCAUCAUCGACCGAUCCUGAUGUAUUCGGAUGGAUUUGAGUAAGAGCCUUACCGCUUGGACCCGAAAGAUGGUGAACUAUGCUUGUAUAGGGUGAAGCCAGAGGAAACUCUGGUGGAGGCUCGCAGCGGUUCUGACGUGCAAAUCGAUCGUCAAAUAUGAGCAUGGGGGCGAAAGACUAAUCGAACCAU